rnacentral:lncRNA from 1 species
AAAUAUGGCGGCGGCGGCGCUUACGCUGAGGACGCGGGCAGCAGGUAGCUCAGCACUGUGGCUAUUGCGAGGCGAGACAGCAGGGAGGCUGGGAGAUGGAAACUGGAGCCCAUGGUGAACCUAGAUACGGGGAAGAAGUGAGGGGCUCCGGACCUUUGGAGGGCGACUGUCUCCGGUCACGUGACACGUUGUGGGCGGUGCUUGCGGAGGGUGGGAGUGCAGAAUGAAAGCCCGUUGGAUAGUUACUCCAGAAGCUCUGUCCCCUCUGGGUUUAUGUGGAUCCCUCCGGAUUUGAAGAAGACUAAGUUCAAAACAUUUAAUUGAUAUUCAAGACUUAGCUUUUUUCCUUUCCUCGCUUUUGAGGUAGGUUCCCACUGUGUAGUUUGCCGUCUUAGAGCUGGUAUUUCAGAUGUCUAUGACCAUGACCAACGCUUAGGUCUGGUGAGACACUGCUCAGAGUACCAGCAUAAACAUGGUUUCUAACGCCUUGUGAGUUCAGCCAGUAAACACGUGAGUAACUUAGUUGUAAUCUCGAAUAGUAUUGUGAAGAGUCUUAGAUUAGGGGACCAAGGAAGUCUCUUGAAGGGAUAGCAAUUUAGACCUAAAAGAGACAGACCCAACCAAACCUGUGUAGACAGAAGGCAAGAAAAUGACUUGACUCGGUUUUACAGUUUUGAGGAGCCAAUUAAGAGGAGGCAGACUGGGUGCAAAUAAAUAAAUGAAAAUGAAACCAAGUGGGACCAGGAAUAGUAGUGCCUAUAAUCCCUGCACUUAGGAGCCUGGGGCAGGAAGAUUUCAUCAGAUCCAAGGCCAGCCUGGGUCACAGACUCAAAAGCUAUAAAUAAAUAAAAUAAC